rnacentral:lncRNA from 1 species
GCCAGCGACUGCGCAUGCUGAGAAGGCCGCCCGCGCAGGCAAGCCCGCGCAGGCUCAGGUCCCCAGGCGCAGAGCCGGGCUGGGCCGCGAGGAGGGAAUGGAAGAGCCUGGGGCGGGGUCGGAGGUCAGCGCCAGCCCUUCCAGGCAGCCGACGCACGGUCCCUACCUGAACACAAAGAUGACUUUUACUCUGAGUAUCAGAAACAUCUGCAGGAGUGACACUGCACCUGCCGAAGGUAACAAUGUAGCUCUGAAGGGCAUGGGCAUCUUCUUCCAAGAGUUGGCUGAGAGGAAGCGUGAGGGUGCCCAGCGUCUCUUGAAGAUGCGAAACCAGUGGAGCGGCGACCCCCUCCUCUCUGAUGGGCAGCUGUCUGAAGAUCCGUGGCG